UACAGAGGUCUCAAGCGUUGUUCGGAUUCAUUGGGCGUAAAGGGUGCGUAGGUGGCGCGCUAAGUCAGGUGUGAAAUUUCGGAGCUUAACUCCGAAACUGCAUUUGAUACUGGUGUGCUUGAGGACUGGAGAGGAGACUGGAAUUCAUGGUGUAGCAGUGAAAUGCGUAGAGAUCAUGAGGAAGACCAGUGGCGAAGGCGGGUCUCUGGACAGUUCCUGACAGCUGGAGGCACGAAGGCCAGGGGAGCAAACGGG
rnacentral:rRNA from 1 species